rnacentral:rRNA from 1 species
UCCAGGCUCCUACGGGAGGCAGCAGUGAGGAAUAUUGGUCAAUGGGAGGAAUCCUGAACCAGCCAUGCCGCGUGCAGGACGACGGCUCUACGAGUUGUAAACUGCUUUUGUACCGGGGUAAAAUGCCUUACGAGUAGGGUUUUGAAAGUACGGUACGAAUAAGGAUCGGCUAACUCCGUGCCAGCAGCCGCGGUAAUACGGAGGAUCCGAGCGUUAUCCGGAUUUAUUGGGUUUAAAGGGAGCGUAGGUGGAUUGUUAAGUCAGUUGUGAAAGUUUGCGGCUCAACCGUAAAAUUGCAGUUGAAACUGGCAGUCUUGAGUACAGUAGAGGUGGGCGGAAUUCGUGGUGUAGCGGUGAAAUGCUUAGAUAUCACGAAGAACUCCGAUUGCGAAGGCAGCUCACUGGACUGCAACUGACACUGAGGCUCGAAAGUGUGGGUAUCAAACAGGAUUAGAUACCCCCGUA